rnacentral:rRNA from 1 species
GACGGAGGAUGCAAGUGUUAUCCGGAAUCACUGGGCGUAAAGCGUCUGUAGGUGGUUCGAAAAGUCCACUGUUAAAAAUUGAGGCUUAACUUCAAAGAUGCCGUGGAAACUUUCAAACUAGAGUAUGGUAGGGGUAGAGGGAAUUUCCAGUGGAGCGGUGAAAUGCGUAGAUAUUGGAAAGACCACCGAUGGCGAAGGCACUCUACUGGGCCAUUACUGACACUGAGAGACGAAAGCCAGGGGAGCGAACGGG